AACAUCGCCUCUUGAAAAACAUAAGAGGUCCAGCCUGCCCAGUGACUCUGUUCAACGGCCGCGGUAUCCUAACCGUGCGAAGGUAGCGUAAUCACUUGUCCUUUAAAUGGGGACUAGUAUGAAUGGCACCACGAGGGUUAUACUGUCUCCUUUUUUUAAUCAGUGAAACUAAUCCCCCCGUGAAGAAGCGGGGAUACACCUAUAAGACGAGAAGACCCUAUGGAGCUUUAAACAAAACAACAUUUGCUUUAACCUACACCGAUCUCAGGAAAUCAACCCCUAGUUUAGCAUUAUGAUUGUUAGUUUUAGGUUGGGGUGACCGCGGAGUAAAAAAUAACCUCCACAAUGAAUGGGAUCUUCCCUAAGCAAAAAGCCACAACUUUAUGCAUCAACAAAUUGACAUCACUUGACCCAAUAUUUUGAUCAACGAAACAAGUUACCCUAGGGAUAACAGCGCAAUCCACUUAGAGAGCCCGUAUCGACAAGUGGGUUUACGACCUCGAUGUUGGAUCAGGGUAUCCCGGUGGUGCAGCCGCUACUAAAGGUU
rnacentral:rRNA from 1 species